rnacentral:rRNA from 1 species
AACGAACGCUGGCGGCAUGCCUAACACAUGCAAGUCGAACGAGACCUUCGGGUCUAGUGGCGCACGGGUGCGUAACGCGUGGGAAUCUGCCCUUAGGUUCGGAAUAACUUUGGGAAACUGAAGCUAAUACCGGAUGAUGACGUAAGUCCAAAGAUUUAUCGCCUAAGGAUGAGCCCGCGUUGGAUUAGCUAGUUGGUGAGGUAAAGGCUCACCAAGGCGACGAUCCAUAGCUGGUCUGAGAGGAUGAUCAGCCACACUGGGACUGAGACACGGCCCAGACUCCUACGGGAGGCAGCAGUGGGGAAUAUUGGACAAUGGGCGAAAGCCUGAUCCAGCAAUGCCGCGUGAGUGAUGAAGGCCUUAGGGUUGUAAAGCUCUUUUACCCGGGAUGAUAAUGACAGUACCGGGAGAAUAAGCUCCGGCUAACUCCGUGCCAGCAGCCGCGGUAANGUCAGUGACU